CGGACCGGCGCACGGGUGAGUAACACGUAUGGAACCUGCCCGCAGCAGGGGGAUAAGCGGAAGAAAUUCCGUCUAAUACCGCGUAACAACGUUGGGAGGCAUCUCCCGAUGUUUAAAGAUUUAUCGGCUGCGGAUGGCCAUGCGGCGCAUUAGCUAGUCGGCGGGGUAACGGCCCACCGAGGCGACGAUGCGUAGGGGUUCUGAGAGGAAGGUCCCCACACUGGUACUGAGACACGGACCAGACUCCUACGGGAGGCAGCAG
rnacentral:rRNA from 1 species